UGGGGAAUAUUGCACAAUGGGCGGAAGCCUGAUGCAGCGACGCCGCGUGGGGGAUGAAGGCCUUCGGGUUGUAAACUCCUUUCGACAGGGACGAAGCUUUUGUGACGGUACCUGUAUAAGAAGCACCGGCUAACUACGUGCCAGCAGCCGCGGUAAUACGUAGGGUGCGAGCGUUGUCCGGAAUUACUGGGCGUAAAGAGCUCGUAGGUGGUUUGUCGCGUCGUCUGUGAAAUUCCGGGGCUUAACUCCGGGCGUGCAGGCGAUACGGGCUGAUUUGAGUGCUGUAGGGGAGACUGGAAUUCCUGGUGUAGCGGUGAAAUGCGCAGAUAUCAGGAGGAACACCGAUGGCGAAGGCAGGUCUCUGGGCAGUAACUGACGCUGAGGAGCGAAAGCAGGGGUAGCGAACAGG
rnacentral:rRNA from 1 species